rnacentral:rRNA from 1 species
AUUGAACGCUGGCGGCAGGCCUAACACAUGCAAGUCGAGCGGAUGAAGGGAGCUUGCUCCUGGAUUCAGCGGCGGACGGGUGAGUAAUGCCUAGGAAUCUGCCUGGUAGUGGGGGAUAACGUCCGGAAACGGGCGCUAAUACCGCAUACGUCCUGAGGGAGAAAUUGGGGGAUCUUCGGCCCUCACGCUAUCAGAUAAUCUUAGGUUGGAUUAGCAAGUUGGUGGGGUAAAGGCCUACCAAGGCGACGAUCCGUAACUGGUCUGAGAGGAUGAUCAGUCGCACUGGAACUGAGACACGGUCCAGACUCCUAAGGGAGGCAGCAGUGGGGAAUAUUGGACAAUGGGCGAAAGCCUGAUCCAGCCAUGCCGCGUGUGUGAAGAAGGUCUUCGGAUUGUAAAGCACUUUAAGUUGGGAGGAAGGGCAGUAAGUUAAUACCUUGCUGUUUUGACGUUACCAACAGAAUAAGCACCGGCUAACUUCGUG